CCAGAUGACCUGAAAACACGACCUUUCGACCCCUCCAGAAAAACAUAUCCAUGUUGGCCCCUUCCCUCCGGUUCUGCAGACUACUCAGGCUCUGAUUGGCUGGCACUCAGCUCUUUCACAUCUUCACCUUGAGAAGUAUGGCAGGGUGCAUCAUGGGAGAC